GAUCAUUACCGAGUUAUACAACUCCCAAACCCACUGUGAACCUUACCUCAGUUGCCUCGGCGGGAACGCCCCGGCCGCCUGCCCCCGCGCCGGCGCCGGACCCAGGCGCCCGCCGCAGGGACCCCAAACUCUCUUGCAUUACGCCCAGCGGGCGGAAUUUCUUCUCUGAGUUGCACAAGCAAAAACAAAUGAAUCAAAACUUUCAACAACGGAUCUCUUGGUUCUGGCAUCGAUGAAGAACGCAGCGAAAUGCGAUAAGUAAUGUGAAUUGCAGAAUUCAGUGAAUCAUCGAAUCUUUGAACGCACAUUGCGCCCGCCAGCAUUCUGGCGGGCAUGCCUGUUCGAGCGUCAUUUCAACCCUCGAGCCCCCCCGGGGGCCUCGGUGUUGGGGGACGGCACACCAGCCGCCCCCGAAAUGCAGUGGCGACCCCGCCGCAGCCUCCCCUGCGUAGUAGCACACACCUCGCACCGGAGCGCGGAGGCGGUCACGCCGUAAAACGCCCAACUUCUUAGAGUGAC
rnacentral:misc_RNA from 1 species